ACUUUUAUUUUCAGUCUUUUGAGGAAUCUCCAUACUGUUUUCCGUAACAGCUGCACCAAACUACAUUCCCACCAACAAUGUAGGAGGGUUCCUUUUACACCCCUUAUUUUUAUUACAAGUAAUCAAUGACAUCACCAUCAAUUGUUCAAACCAUGAUAUAGAAAUAAUAUUCCUUGUAAAGGAGAAUCUAUAUUUUCUCACUAUUUUACAAAUGUCAAUAAGGACAUUUUUAGAUUACUGUGUUAUCUGUAAAAUGCAAUCUAAGUUGUAUUAUUAUUAUUACUGAAACACAGCUUCAAGUUGCCUUCUCCUGCUCAGAUUGUUGUGCUCUAGGCCUGUCCUGUCUAGAAAUUUUAGCAUUAUCAGAACAAUUUUAAUGAUCACUCAUAUCAUAAAUUUGUUUUGAAAUACCUGGUUUGCAGGCUCAGUUUUCCUAUGUAAUGUUUGCCAUUUCCUCAUGAAUUUUCAUCUACCCUGAAGCUAUGCAGUUGUCUCCUACCUAGCAGCAAAAGGUUUCCUGUUCUCAUUCUAGGUCUCUCCUCUCUGUUGCUGGAUCCCCUGGAAAAGACAGUAUCUAAAGAUGACUUCAGUCUCGUUCAGAACGUGUGGCAAAUGAAAGAUCCCCAAUUGUCUUCACUCAAGGUAAAGCUCUGGUCUCCCAAAAAGGAGGUUGGACUAAAUUGAAUCUUCUGAUUCCAAUUUUAUGAACUGCAUUAAAAUCUCUCUAGGGUGCAGGAUUAUGUUUGUGUUGAAGAAUGACUGCAUUAAGGGGAGAAGGGUGCUUCCCCUCCACUUCAUGCCACUUGAAAUCACCUCAAGAGGAUCUCCAAGGAGACAAGUCAGAAAGCGUGAUAUGUUCACCUAGGAGCUGGGAAACAUUAGACUGAUGUCUGACUCAUGCCCAGGAGAGCUGAAGGGUGAGUGGUUGGUCUAUAUUCCGGGAGACAGUCUAUGAAGAGAGAAAAAUACACUGAAAGAAAGCUGCUCUUCCACUGCCAGCAGGGCUUCCCAUGGUCCACAUGUGGGCCACACAGGAGGGAACCAACUGGGACUCAUUUUAAAACAGACCUCUCAAAGAUGGCUUCUUGACAUGGGUUAGGCGACUCAGUGGACCUUGGAGUACACUGGAUGCAUAAACUGAGAGUGGACUGUCAGAAGUGCUGUGUGUACCUGAUAAAGGCAUGACUGCUCUCAGAGAAAAGGAAAACUGUAUGCCUUAUACAUGUGUUUAAUACAAAUUUUAUUGCUACAAAGAAUGUAUACGAGACAGUAUGCAAGUAAUCACAAAGCAUACAAUAUUCUACAUUGUAAAUUCCAUACAGCCAAGGCAUUCUCUGAGAAGCCUUUUUCUAUUGAUUUUUUGAUGAAUUAUCGAAUCCCUAAGCAAAGUAGGAUUGCAAAUCAGUGUAGAUAAACAGUAGAUUCAACAUGAAUGUUGGCUGAUAGUUGUGUACAUUAAUGACUAAAAUGAAAAGUAAAACAACAAAGACAUGUUGGAACAUCAUCAUUAUCCAUAACAUGAGUGACUUCUUUGCUAAUUGGAUAAUAUUUUUCAACUACUGGAAGAAUAGUUCCUUGGUUUUUGUGCUAUUCACAGUGUAAUGGCUAUAAAUGUAAGCUUGGUCUAUAUUAUUAGUAUUUUUUCCAUUAUUUUCUUAAGUCUAUGUGAUCACUCACACAAGAAAUAAAAACCUAAUUUGUAAUAUU